UACGUAGGGGGCUAGCGUUGUCCGGAUUUAUUGGGCGUAAAGAGCGUGUAGGCGGCCAGGUAGGUCUGCUGUGAAAACUCGAGGCUCAACCUCGAGACGUCGGCGGAAACCAUCUGGCUAGAGUCCGGAAGAGGAGAGUGGAAUUCCUGGUGUAGCGGUGAAAUGCGCAGAUAUCAGGAAGAACACCGGUGGCGAAGGCGGCUAUCUGGACCGACAUUGACGCUGAGGCGCGAAGGUCAGGGGAGCAAACGGG
rnacentral:rRNA from 1 species